rnacentral:rRNA from 1 species
UACGGGGGGAGCAAGCGUUGUUCGGAUUUACUGGGCGUAAAGGGCGCGUAGGCGGCCACCGCAAGUCGACUGUGAAAUCUCCGGGCUUAACCCGGAAAGGUCAACCGAUACUGCGGGGCUAGAGUGCAGAAGGGGCAACUGGAAUUCUCGGUGUAGCGGUGAAAUGCGUAGAUAUCAGGAGGAACACCGGUGGCGAAGGCGGUUCUCUGGGCAUUACCUGACGCUGAGGAGCGAAAGCGUGGGGAGCAAACAGG